rnacentral:rRNA from 1 species
CGGGACGGGUGAGUAAUGUCUGGGAAACUGCCUGAUGGAGGGGGAUAACUACUGGAAACGGUAGCUAAUACCGCAUAACGUCGCAAGACCAAAGAGGGGGGACCUUGGGCCUCUUGCCAUCGGAUGUGCCCAGAUGGGAUUAGCUAGUAGGUGGGGUAACGGCUCACCUAGGCGACGAUCCCUAGCUGGUCUGAGAGGAUGACCAGCCACACUGGAACUGAGACACGGUCCAG